rnacentral:rRNA from 1 species
AAUGAACGCUGGCGGCGUGCCUAACACAUACAAGUCGGAUGUGCCCGCAAGGGUGCAUGGCAGACGGGUGAGUAACGCGUGGGGAAUCUACCUUUUAGUGGGGAAUAACGCUCCGAAAGGAGUGGUAAUACCGCAUGUGACCAUCGGCUGGGAUGCUGAUGGUGAAACCCCUGGGACCUUCGGGCCGAGGGCGUAAAGAGGAUCCCUGCGUCUGAUUAGCUAGUUGGCGGGGUAACGGGCCCACCCAACGGCGGACGAUCAGUAGCCGGCCCUGAGAGGGUGGAUCGGCCACACUGGAACUGAGACACGGUCCAGACUCCUACCGGGAGGGCAGCAGUGGGGAAGUUUUGGUACAAUGGGCGGAAAGACCUGAUCCAGCC